rnacentral:rRNA from 1 species
AUACGGAGGGGGCUAGCGUUGUUCGGAAUUACUGGGCGUAAAGCGUACGUAGGCGGACUGAUCAGUUGGGGGUGAAAUCCCAGGGCUUAACCCUGGAACUGCCUUCAAUACUGUCAGUCUUGAGAUUGGAAGAGGUGAGUGGAAUUCCUAGUGUAGAGGUGAAAUUCAUAGAUAUUAGGAGGAACACCAGUGGCGAAGGCGGCUCACUGGUCCAAUACUGACGCUGAGGCGCGAAAGCGUGGGGAGCAAACAGGAUUAGAAACCCUAGUAGUCC